GAACCAGCAUGGCAUAAUGGUUUGAGCAUUGAAUUAUGACUCUGGAGACCAGGGUUCAAUUCCCUGCUUAUUCA
rnacentral:tRNA from 1 species